rnacentral:rRNA from 1 species
UUUGGAAGUAAAAGUCGUAACAAGGUUUCCGUAGGUGAACCUGCGGAAGGAUCAUUAGUGAUUGCCUUUAUAGGCUUAUAACUAUAUCCACUUACACCUGUGAACUGUUCUACUACUUGACGCAAGUCGAGUAUUUUUACAAACAAUGUGUAAUGAACGUCGUUUUAUUAUAACAAAAUAAAACUUUCAACAACGGAUCUCUUGGCUCUCGCAUCGAUGAAGAACGCAGCGAAUUGCGAUAAGUAAUGUGAAUUGCAGAAUUCAGUGAAUCAUCGAAUCUUUGAACGCAGCUUGCGCUCUCUGGUAUUCCGGAGAGCAUGCCUGUUUCAGUGUCAUGAAAUCUCAACCACUAGGGUUUCCUAAUGGAUUGGAUUUGGGCGUCUGCGAUUUCUGAUCGCUCGCCUUAAAAGAGUUAGCAAGUUUGACAUUAAUGUCUGGUGUAAUAAGUUUCACUGGGUCCAUUGUGUUGAAGCGUGCUUCUAAUCGUCCGCAAGGACAAUUACUUUGACUCUGGCCUGAAAUCAGGUAGGACUACCCGCUGAACUUAAGCAUAUCAAAAGCCGGAGGAAA